UACAGAGGGUGCGAGCGUUAAUCGGAAUUACUGGGCGUAAAGGGUGCGUAGGUGGUAUGGUAAGUUAUCUGUGAAAUUCCUGGGCUUAACCUGGGACGGUCAGAUGAUACUGCUGUACUCGAGUAUGGGAGAGGGUAGUGGAAUUUCCGGUGUAGCGGUGAAAUGCGUAGAGAUCGGAAGGAACACCAGUGGCGAAGGCGGCUACCUGGCCCAAUACUGACACUGAGGCACGAAAGCGUGGGGAGCAAACAGG
rnacentral:rRNA from 1 species